rnacentral:rRNA from 1 species
AGCGAACGCUGGCGGCAGGCUUAACACAUGCAAGUCGAGCGCCCCGCAAGGGGCGCGGCAGACGGGAGAGUAACACGUGGGAACAUACCUUUUGGUUCGGAACAACUGAGGGAAACUUCAGCUAAUACCGGAUAAGCCCUUACGGGGAAAGAUUUAUCGCCGAAAGAUUGGCCCGCGUCUGAUUAGCUAGUUGGUGAGGUAACGGCUCACCAAGGCGACGAUCAGUAGCUGGUCUGAGAGGAUGAUCAGCCUCACUGGGACUGAGACACGGCCCAGACUCCUACGGGAGGCAGCAGUGGGGAAUAUUGGACAAUGGGGGCAACCCUGAUCCAGCCAUGCCGCGUGAGUGAUGAAGGCCUUAGGGUUGUAAAGCUCUUUUGCCCGGGAAGAUAAUGACGGUACCGGGAGAAUAAGCCCCGGCUAACUUCGUG